rnacentral:rRNA from 2 species
CAACCUGAGAGUUUGAUCCUGGCUCAGAACGAACGCUGGCGGCAUGCUUAACACAUGCAAGUCGAACGAGAAGCUAUCUUCGGAUAGUGGAAAGUGGCGCACGGGUGAGUAACGCGUGGGAACCUGCCCCGAGGUU